GCUUCCACUCUCUUCCGCCGGUGACGGAGUCGCCUCUGAUUCCGAUUCAGAUCCAGCUGUAUCCCUUCUUUGUUCGAUAGCUUUAGUUACAAAAUACGCCGAUUUCCUCAGAUUACACAUCGUCGUGGUUCUAAUCUCAGUAUAAACCGGAAGUAUACGGCGAGUGGAAAGUGACGGUUUCGUUUCCCGGAAACUCCUGGUUAUUCCGGUGACCGGCGGCGAGAAUUGUGCGGUGAGUGACAUUUUUUCGAAAUUGGGAACUUUUUUUUAUAUUUCGUGUUGAGGAUAAUCCAGAUAUAUCGAAAUAUUGAUCAGAUACAAAAAAAUGAGUACAGUUAAACAGUAGCUACAGUGAUGGGCCUUUGUAUAGCCCACAGGCCCAAAUAUUAAAGAAAUUUAAAUUAGAGAGGAAUUAAAAUUUUAAUUUGAUUGUAAUAGAAAAUAAUUCUCCGGCGACGACGACGACGCCGGAGAAAGUAACCAUAGGAGUGUAUCGGCGAAAGCAGAGACGAUGAACUUAUGAGUAUGUUUCGGAU
rnacentral:lncRNA from 1 species